rnacentral:rRNA from 1 species
AUGCCUUACGAUCGUUGGGUCGGACACGCUCCGCUAACCCAUAGGCGCAAUGAAAGUGAAGGUCGCCCUCUGCGGGACCGAGGGAGGACGGAGGCGGUCGCUCGCGGCCGCCUCCCGCACUCCCGGGGCGUCUGAUUCCUCUUUCUGAGGGAAGGCGCACCCAGAGCGCACACGUUGGGACCCGAAAGAUGGUGAACUAU